AUUGAACGCUGGCGGCAGGCUUUACACAUGCAAGUCGAGCGGAGCGGCGGACGGGUGAGUAAUGCCUAUGUAUCUGCCUGUUAGCGGGGGAUAACGUCCGGUAACGGGCGCUAAUACCGCAUACUAUCAGAUGAGCCUAGGUCGGAUUAGCUAGUUGGUGGGGUAAAGGCCUACCAAGGCAACGAUCCGUAACUGGUCUGAGAGGAUGAUCAGUCACACUGGAACUGAGACACGGUCCAGACUCCUACGUGAGGCAGCAGUGGGGAAUAUUGGACAAUGGGCGAAAGCCUGAUCCAGCCAUGCCGCGUGUGUGAAGAAGGUCUUCGGAUUGUAAAGCACUUGAAGUAGGGAGGCGUUACCAACAGAAUAAGCACCGGCUAACUACGUGCCAGCAGCCGCGGUAAUAC
rnacentral:rRNA from 1 species